GACGAACGCUGGCGGCGUGCCUAAUACAUGCAAGUAGAACGCUGAAGGAGGAGCUUGCUUCUCUGGAUGAGUUGCGAACGGGUGAGUAACGCGUAGGUAACCUGCCUGGUAGCGGGGGAUAACUAUUGGAAACGAUAGCUAAUACCGCAUAAUAUUGACUAUUGCAUGAUAGUCAGUUGAAAGGUGCAACUGCACCACUACCAGAUGGACCUGCGUUGUAUUAGCUAGUUGGUGGGGUAACGGCUCACCAAGGCGACGAUACAUAGCCGACCGGAGAGGGUGAUCGGCCACACUGGGACUGAGACACGGCCCAGACUCCUACGGGAGGCAGCAGUAGGGAAUCUUCGGCAAUGGACGGAAGUCUGACCGAGCAACGCCGCGUGAGUGAAGAAGGUUUUCGGAUCGUAAAGCUCUGUUGUAAGAGAAGAACGAGUGUGAGAGUGGAAAGCUCACACUGUGACGGUAUCUUACCAGAAAGGGACGGCUAACUACGUG
rnacentral:rRNA from 1 species